GGGGAUUUAGCUCACUGGUAGAGCGCUUGCCUAGCAAGCACAAGGCCCUGGGUUCGGUCCCCAGCUCCA
rnacentral:tRNA from 1 species